GAGGGUAGAGCUCAGUGGCAGAGCUCAUGCCUAGCAUGCAUGAGUCCCUGGGUUCAAUCCCCAGUACCUCCA
rnacentral:tRNA from 1 species